rnacentral:rRNA from 1 species
AUUGAACGCUGGCGGCAGGCCUAACACAUGCAAGUCGAACGAGCGGCGGACGGGUGAGUAAUGUCUGGGAAACUGCCUGAUGGAGGGGGAUAACUACUGGAAACGGUAGCUAAUACCGCAUACCAUCAGAUGUGCCCAGAUGGGAUUAGCUGGUAGGUGGGGUAACGGCUCACCUAGGCGACGAUCCCUACCUGGUCUGAGAGGAUGACCAGCCCACCAGUAGCUGAGACACGGUGCAGAAUCCUACGGGAGGCAGCAGUGGUGGGUAUUGCACAAUGGGCGCGAGCCGGAUGCAGCCAUGCCGCGUGUAUGAAGAAGGCCUUCGGGUUGUAAAGUAGUUUCUGCGGCGAGGCGUUGCUCGCAGAAGAAGCACCGGCUAACUCCGUGCCAGCAGCCGCGGUAAUAC